rnacentral:lncRNA from 1 species
CGCGGGAUUAGAAGAAAUAAGACUGUUAUUUAGAACUGGCAUAGGCAUGGAAACUGCAUCAGCUAUAACCAUAUUAGAUCCUACAAAGGAUUCUUGGUGUGAAACUGGUGUUUGCAUGAUUAAUUUAUGGCAAAUGUCGACAUCUAAGGUUGUAAUAGGAUAUCCAACUAAGGCUAUACCGAAGAAAAUUGGUAAAGAUUGGAUAAUACCAUUUGAUAAGUUUUAUUGGUUAAAAUGGAAUAAUAUGUCAUAUUAUGUGCCUAGUGAAGCCACUUAUGCGAUAGGUAAAACAACUGUUAUAGCCUAUGAUCUUUUCUCAGAUGAACCUAGGACUUCUGAUAUAACUAUAUCUAUGCCUCAGGCUACUUUGUUAGAUCUUGGGAAUUUUAAUAUGUUGUCUUGUUAUCCUGAACCGUACAUGGUUCAACGAUGGCAAAACAUUUCUUAUAGUGAUUCUUUGAGUCUGAAUGCUGGUUGCCAUAUACAUACUAAUGUCAUGAUGAUGGAACAUAUGAAUUUGACCGUUCAGAAACAUCUGUUUAGGAGUUUGAAUUUUACUAACACGAGAAAUGUACGAGUCCUGACUCAGGUGGUUUAUUUGUCUAAUCAUACUUUUGGGUUACAUACUUUUGUGCCCCAGCC